rnacentral:rRNA from 1 species
CAUGCAGUCGACGGUAACGGACCGCUGGGAUUCCUUCGGGAUGACCUUGGUGCCGACGAGUGGCGGACGGGUGAGUAACACGUAGGAAUCUGCCCAACAGUGGGGGACAACCCGGAGAAAUCCGGGCUAAUACCGCAUACGCCCUACGGGGGAAAGCGGGGGAUCUUCGGACCUUGCGCUGUUGGAGGAGCCUGCGUCGGAUUAGCUUGUUGGUGAGGUAAAGGCUCACCAAGGCUACGAUCCGUAGCUGGUCUGAGAGGAUGAUCAGCCACACUGGGACUGAGACACGGCCCAGACUCCUACGGGAGGCAGCAGUGGGGAAUAUUGCACAAUGGGCGAAAGCCUGAUGCAGCCAUACCGCGUGGGUGAAGAAGGCCUUAGGGUUGUAAAGCCCUUUCAGCAGGGAAGAAGGGUGCGAGGUUAAUACCCUCGUAUUUUGACGGUACCUGCAGAAGAAGCACCGGCUAACUCCGUGCCAGCAGCCGCGGUAAUACGGAGGGUGCGAGCGUUAAUCGGAAUUACUGGGCGUAAAGCGCACGCAGGCGGUUUGUUAAGCUAGAUGUGAAAGCCCCGGCGCUCACCGUGGGAUGGUCAUUUAGAACUGGGCAGACUAGAGUCUUAGAGAGGGGAGUAGAAUUCCGAGGUGUAGGCUGAUGAAGAUGCGUAGAUAUCGUGGAGGCAACCUCAGGUGGCGAAGCCGCGACUCCCGUGCCCAGUAGACGUGGACGCAUAUGUGCAAAGAGUGGUGCUUCGCGAAACUGAGAAAUAACAUACCCCGAGGUUUGUCCCACAUCGAUACAGCUCUGCUCUACUAGUCUGUGUUGCGCUCUUAUAAAGACGUCGGUAUCGGAAGCUAACGGCGCUAAACUAAAACCCGCCUGGGGAGUAGCGGCCUUCCAAGCUUAAAGAACUACAAAUGCACUUGACGGGGCCUGUCACAG